rnacentral:snoRNA from 1 species
CUGGCCCUGAAUCAAGGCUGGCAGUUUCCUAACAUUUGGUUUUAAGCAGGAGCCGAAAGAGAUGUCUUUCUGUGGUCUGUUGGCUAUUUCAGAACUUGGAAAAUGGAAUGAUCAAUUCAUUAGAAAGAAACAGCU